rnacentral:rRNA from 1 species
GGUUAAGCGACUAAGCGUACACGGUGGAUGCCCUGGCAGUCAGAGGCGAUGAAGGACGUGCUAAUCUGCGAUAAGCGCCGGUAAGGUGAUAUGAACCGUUAUAACCGGCGAUUUCCGAAUGGGGAAACCCAGUGUGACUCGUCACACUAUCAUUAACUGAAUCCAUAGGUUAAUGAGGCGAACCGGGGGAACUGAAACAUCUAAGUACCCCGAGGAAAAGAAAUCAACCGAGAUUCCCCCAGUAGCGGCGAGCGAACGGGGAGGAGCCCAGAGCCUGAAUCAGCAUGUGUGUUAGUGGAAGCGUCUGGAAAGGCGCGCGAUACAGGGUGACAGCCCCGUACACAAAAGCGCAUGUGCUGUGAGCUCGAUGAGUAGGGCGGGACACGUGGUAUCCUGUCUGAAUAUGGGGGGACCAUCCUCCAAGGCUAAAUACUCCUGACUGACCGAUAGUGAACCAGUACCGUGAGGGAAAGGCGAAAAGAACCCCGGCGAGGGGAGUGAAAAAGAACCUGAAACCGUGUACGUACAAGCAGUGGGAGCACCCUUUGGGGUGUGACUGCGUACCUUUUGUAUAAUGGGUCAGCGACUUAUAUUCUGUAGCAAGGUUAACCGAAUAGGGGAGCCGGAGGGAAACCGAGUCUUAAUUGGGCGUUAAGUUGCAGGGUAUAGACCCGAAACCCGGU